GAUGAACGCUGGCGGCGUGCCUAAUACAUGCAAGUCGAGCGAACAGACGAGGAGCUUGCUCCUUUGACGUUAGCGGCGGACGGGUGAGUAACACGUGGGUAACCUACCUAUAAGACUGGGAUAACUUCGGGAAACCGGAGCUAAUACCGGAUAAUAUUUCGAACCGCAUGGUUCGAUAGUGAAAGAUGGCUUUGCUAUCACUUAUAGAUGGACCUGCGCCGUAUUAGCUAGUUGGUAAGGUAACGGCUUACCAAGGCAACGAUACGUAGCCGACCUGAGAGGGUGAUCGGCCACACUGGAACUGAGACACGGUCCAGACUCCUACGGGAGGCAGCAGUAGGGAAUCUUCCGCAAUGGGCGAAAGCCUGACGGAGCAACGCCGCGUGAGUGAUGAAGGUCUUCGGAUCGUAAAACUCUGUUAUUAGGGAAGAACAAACGUGUAAGUAACUGUGCACGUCUUGACGGUACCUAAUCAGAAAGCCACGGCUAACUACGUGCCAGCAGCCGCGGUAAUACGUAGGUGGCAAGCGUUAUCCGGAAUUAUUGGGCGUAAAGCGCGCGUGGGCGGUUUUUUAAGUCUGAUGCGAAAGCCCACGGCUCAACCGUGGAGGGUCAUUGGAAACUGGAAAACUUGAGUGCAGAAGAGGAAAGUGGAAUUCCAUGUGUAGCGGUGAAAUGCGCAGAGAUAUGGAGGAACACCAGUGGCGAAGGCGACUUUCUGGUCUGUAACUGACGCUGAUGUGCGAAAGCGUGGGGAUCAAACAGGAUUAGAUACCCUGGUAGUCCACGCCGUAAACGAUGAGUGCUAAGUGUUAGGGGGUUUCCGCCCCUUAGUGCUGCAGCUAACGCAUUAAGCACUCCGCCUGGGGAGUACGACCGCAAGGUUGAAACUCAAAGGAAUUGACGGGGACCCGCACAAGCGGUGGAGCAUGUGGUUUAAUUCGAAGCAACGCGAAGAACCUUACCAAAUCUUGACAUCCUUUGACCCUUCUAGAGAUAGAAGUUUCCCCUUCGGGGGACAAAGUGACAGGUGGUGCAUGGUUGUCGUCAGCUCGUGUCGUGAGAUGUUGGGUUAAGUCCCGCAACGAGCGCAACCCUUAAGCUUAGUUGCCAUCAUUAAGUUGGGCACUCUAAGUUGACUGCCGGUGACAAACCGGAGGAAGGUGGGGAUGACGUCAAAUCAUCAUGCCCCUUAUGAUUUGGGCUACACACGUGCUACAAUGGACAAUACAAAGGGCAGCAAAACCGCGAGGUCAAGCAAAUCCCAUAAAGUUGUUCUCAGUUCGGAUUGUAGUCUGCAACUCGACUACAUGAAGCUGGAAUCGCUAGUAAUCGUAGAUCAGCAUGCUACGGUGAAUACGUUCCCGGGUCU
rnacentral:rRNA from 1 species